rnacentral:rRNA from 1 species
UACGUAGGGGGCAAGCGUUGUCCGGAAUUAUUGGGCGUAAAGAGCGUGUAGGCGGCCAGAUAAGUCCGCUGUGAAAUCUCGAGGCUCAACUUCGAGCUGUCGGUGGAAACUAUCUGGCUAGAGUCCGGAAGAGGAGAAUGGAAUUCCUGGUGUAGCGGUGAAAUGCGCAGAUAUCAGGAAGAACACCCGUGGCGAAGGCGGGUUCUCUGGGACGGUACUGACGCUGAGACGCGAAAGCGUGGGGAGCGAACAGG